rnacentral:rRNA from 1 species
UAGCCGUAAACGAUACUCGCUAGGUGUCGGCCACGGUGCGACCGUUGUCGGUGCCGUAGGGAAGCCGUGAAGCGAGCCACCUGGGAAGUACGGCCGCAAGGCUGAAACUUAAAGGAAUUGGCGGGGGAGCACAACAACGGGUGGAGCUUGCGGUUUAAUUUCCCCCGGAUUCAACGCCGGAAAUCUUACCGGGACCGACAGCAACAUGAAGGCCAAGCUGAAGACUUUGCCGGAUUAGCUGAGAGGUGGUGCAUGGCGUAGUCGUGU